AGAGUUUGAUCCUGGCUCAGGAUGAACGCUAGCGACAGGCCUAACACAUGCAAGUCGAGGGGCAUCGGGGCUAGGAGCAAUCCUUGCCGCCGGCGACCGGCGCACGGGUGAGUAACGCGUAUGCGACCUGCCCGUUGCAGGGGGAUAAUCGGGAGAAAUCCCGUCUAAUACCGCGUAAUGCCGCGGGGCUGCAUGGCCCUGCGGCCAAAGGGAGCGAUUCCGGCAACGGAUGGGCAUGCGUGACAUUAGCUAGUUGGCGGGGCAACGGCCCACCAAGGCGACGAUGUCUAGGGGUUCUGAGAGGAAGGUCCCCCACACUGGUACUGAGACACGGACCAGACUCCUACGGGAGGCAGCAGUGAGGAAUAUUGGUCAAUGGGCGCGAGCCUGAACCAGCCAAGUCGCGUGAGGGAUGACGGCCCUACGGGUUGUAAACCUCUUUUGUCGGGGAGCAAAUUCCGUUACGUGUAACGGAGUCGAGAGUACCCGAAGAAAAAGCAUCGGCUAACUCCGUGCCAGCAGCCGCGGUAAUACGGAGGAUGCGAGCGUUAUCCGGAUUUAUUGGGUUUAAAGGGUGAGUAGGCGGACCGUCAAGUCAGCGGUAAAAUACGGGGGCUCAACCUCCGCCCGCCGUUGAAACUGACGGUCUUGAGUGGGCGAGAAGUAUACGGAAUGCGUGGUGUAGCGGUGAAAUGCAUAGAUAUCACGCAGAACUCCGAUUGCGAAGGCAGCAUACCGGCGCCCAACUGACGCUGAAGCACGAAAGCGUGGGUAUCGAACAGGAUUAGAUACCCUGGUAGUCCACGCAGUAAACGAUGAAUACUAGCUGUCCGGGGCGAAUGAGCCCUGGGUGGCACAGCGAAAAGCUGUUAAGUAUUCCACCUGGGGAGUACGCCGGCAACGGUGAAACUCAAAGGAAUUGACGGGGGCCCGCACAAGCGGAGGAACAUGUGGUUUAAUUCGAUGAUACGCGAGGAACCUUACCCGGGCUCAAACGACACAGGAACGUACCUGAAAGGGUUCGGCUCUACGGAGCCUGUGUCGAGGUGCUGCAUGGUUGCCGUCAGCUCGUGCCGUGAGGUGUCGGCUUAAGUGCCAUAACGAGCGCAACCCCCAUCGACAGUUGCUAACAGGUCAGGCUGAGGACUCUGUCGAGACUGCCGGCGCAAGCUGCGAGGAAGGCGGGGAUGACGUCAAAUCAGCACGGCCCUCACGUCCGGGGCGACACACGUGUUACAAUGGCAGGUACAGCGGGAAGCCACCUGGCGACAGGGAGCGGAACCCGAAAGCCUGUCUCAGUUCGGAUUGGAGUCUGCAACCCGACUCCAUGAAGCUGGAUUCGCUAGUAAUCGCGCAUCAGCCACGGCGCGGUGAAUACGUUCCCGGGCCUUGCACUCACCGCCCGUCA
rnacentral:rRNA from 1 species